rnacentral:snoRNA from 1 species
GGAAUGUUUUCAGGAAGAUCUACAUGUAUAUAUUGUUAAUCUUUAAUUAACAUUCCUAGAUAAAAGCAUUUACAUGGAAUUUAAUGCAUUUCGCAAAUAAACCUAUUUAAUUUAUUUGGGUGCCCAUUUAAUUUCGCACAUC